rnacentral:rRNA from 1 species
UGCCGAGGAGGACCAACGGCGGAAGAGAUCGCUGCCGCGGAGCGUCUGGCCGCGCUGCUGGACGCGUUCGAAGGGUUGAUGAGGCUGGCGGCGCCGGCGCCGGUCGUGGAGCUGGGGUGCUCCCCGUACUCGGCGGAGGGCGGGCGGGCGUCGGAGGAGCCGGUGUGCGCGAUCUGCCAGGAUGAGUUCUUGCAGGGGCAGAUGUGCAGCGAGGUGCCCGCGUGCCGGCACUUGUUCCACCGGGACUGCAUCGAGGUGUGGAGGAGGAGCAAGACCACCUGCCCGCUGUGCAGGCGGAGUAUCGUGGCCGGAUCGGAACGAGUAUCGGCUGCCGACGACAUGGUUUAG